ensembl:lncRNA
GUUAUGACAGACUGGGGGUCAGCUAACACAUGCUAGCUAAUCCUGACCCAGCCUCAAUUUCUCAUUCUAAAUUGGACAAAAAACAGGGGACCAAAUUAUUCAAUCUUACUCGAGCUGAAAUCCCAGUGAGGCCAACUAAGCCUUGAAAAAGUGUGGGAGGUUGCAGCACUUUGCUCCUGAGUUGCAUCUGUUGUAUAAAGGUGUUUCACUAAUUAGGGGAAAAGAAAUCCAAAGCACAGUUGUUUAUUUACCUGAGUCUUGAUGCAGCCUCUGUGUUCCUCAUAUACUCUGCUGUUUCUGUCAGGCCUAUGGGCUUGUUUUACUGAAACCAUAUUAUUAUUUUUUCCCCUCUGUUUGUUUUUUGUUUUUUCUCCCCCUAGACUGGCAGAUAGCUACUCUUGCUUUGCUGUUGGGUGGUGCUGCCAUUAUUCUCAUAGCUUUCCUGGUUGGGUUGAUCUCUAUCUGCGUGGGAUCUCGGAGGCGGUUCUACAGACCAGUUGCAGUCAUGCUCUUUGCUGCAGUUGUUCUUCAGGUGUGCAGCUUAGUCCUUUACCCAAUCAAGUUCAUCGAAACGGUCAGCUUGAAAAUAUACCAUGAGUUCAACUGGGGCUAUGGCCUGGCUUGGGGUGCAACUAUAUUUUCAUUUGGAGGUGCCAUUCUUUAUUGUCUUAACCCUAAGAACUAUGAAGACUAUUACUAGAAUCAUUUAAUGAAAAGAAAAAAUAACAAAAGGAUUACCCCAUCUUUUCUAAUUCACAGUUUUUUUAGAACACUCCUGGAGCACCAAACAGUCUGCUCUGUUGAUAAAAUAGCCUUUGCCUUUUGGGUGUGAACACUAUAACCCGCUUUUACAACCAUUUAAAAGAACUGCAAACACUAGGAUUGCUGAUCUUACAUAGGCAGAUGCUGCAAGCUGCUGAUACAUAAGCUUCAUUUUUCCUGACAACAAGCAAAAGGAUCUAUGUGACAGCGAUCAUUGUGAGAAAACUAGUUGGAAUGAGAAUGCAAUGCCAGCAUCUGCUAUUGCCUUCAGGGGGGCAGCUGGUAUAGGCUCCAUUUAGAAGUCUCCCUGUAUCAUAGAGGAUUCAGAUGUCUGAUAAGCAGGCAGUGGCAUCUUGUACAAUAGGCUGUGUUGGCCUCUUGUUACUUGCUCAAAAAAAGCUCUUAAGGAAUUAGUUGCAAGUGACUGUGUUGAGGGCAGUGAAUGUAACUGGUUAAUGACUUGUCUAAUAUCUACAUUCAACAGUCUUCUGGGAGAAUAAUUUAAAAAAACAAAACCAAGCCACCAACCACACAGGAUUUCUUGAAUUGGUAAUCGACAUCACCGUGCCAGCUGUAGCAGAUUGUUGAAGGAAGUCCAAACACAGAGACAUGUGCUUCUGACUGUGUAGUUGGAAGUUGUCUCAGCAUUGAGUAUUUUGCUGGGAGGGUGGAAAUAAGGGGGAGUAGAAAAAGACCUCAUCUCUCCCUGAGGCACCUAAAAUGUAUGAAUGAAUUGCAGUUGUCCUAAGUAUCCAUUUAACUUCUGAACAUUGUCUCGAAAAGAAUGCAUAUGGAACAAGUUCAGUUAUAUUUUUGAAAAGUAUUUGUUACUAUAAAUGAAUAUAUAUAGUACAAAUAUAAAUGCAGAGGAAGAGAGAUGAUUCGUCUUAAAAUUGUAAUAUGAGCUGUGAUGCAGGUGUUAAAAUACUAACUUUGUACACAUUCUUGGAUGUCUUGGAUUGGUACCCAGAAUUUUGGUUGGUGUUACAAAAUAAAUAUAAAAUGGUUUGUCUUCUGUAUAUGCCC